AAAUUUGUCUUUCUCUAUCUUGGAUUUGGCCUCUUCAGAUCUAUUCUUCUCUUUCUCUAUCUCCUGGCUCACUCCGUCCUGCCGCAUCUUGCGCCGCCGGUCAGGGGGGCGAUCUCCACCUCCGCAUACGUCUCAGGUGAGAAGAAGAUGGUGGCCCACCGGUUGUGGGGAUCAAGCUGCUGCAGGUGGUGGGCGGCUCCAGCACCCUCCUCUGCCCUACGAUUAUCUCUUCCUGGUCGUCGCGCUGUCUCUCGAGGCAGCAAUGGAGGCACGUCCUUCACCGGAGGCGACCCUCUCCUUUCCAUCCCUGGCCAUCCAACGAGGCGGCACGCCCUCCUCUUCCUUUACUUAUUCUUUAUUUCUUUUUGAUGGCAACGAUCUCCAUGUUUUUCUCGAUUUUUCCCAUCUUCUGCUUUCCCCUGAUUUUUUUUAUUGAUUUGCUGCCUCCGCUCCCUGUAGAUGGAUGGCGCUGCUCUUGGUGCUGCUCCGCCUGGUUGCCGUGGUAGCCUGUCGGGGCGUCCCAGCCGAUGAUGUACUAUCGGCCCCUCCUCUGAUUCCGGUCUGCAGAUGGACGCCGCCGGUAGGCCGACGGGGCGGCCCGGCCGAGGUCGUCCGGACGCCUCCGUUUCUCCUGCAAGCCUAGAGGUCGACGCUCCGUGGUUCCGCUCCGCGGCCGUCACCGCACUCCGUAUGGAUGAUCCAGGGUUUGCGCGUUCAUCUCCAUCCUACCAGUUCUUUAGUUUGUACAUGAGUACAUCAUGUUGAGAUGAUUUCUGGUGGCCAGUUCGGCUUUGCUCCUGCUCCACGGUCGUUGGCAACUCUGCCGCCUCCGCCCUUCCUACUGAUCUGCAGGUUCAUCACCCUUCCUGAAUUUUAUACUAACUGACCACAUAUCCUUUUCCGUGUGGCCGGAGUGGUGGGCGUCGGAUCAUGCCCCUGGAGGUUGUGCACUUGUGCUCGUGUGUCUGCCUCUCUUGGUCUACAGAUGGAUGGUGCCUCUAUUCCUCCGGGUGUCUGCCAUGGUAACCUUCUGGGGCGUGCCGGUGCGUUAGCCUUGCAUACUGGUUUGGCUUCUCCUUCCAGUCCCGAGACGGCUGGCGUACCGAGGCGGCUGGCGGUGCGCUGUACGACCUCCUGUCCUUCCUGAGGUGUAUCGGCUAUGUGAGGAGCUAAAGCGUCUAUCGUCGUGGUUGAUCCUCUCUCAAGUGAAGGAGAGGUAUUGUGCGUGCUUGCCCGCAGAGUGUCCGGAUUGGAGUUGUGACCGUGCGUCGCCGCCGUGGUUCCCGGCUCCUCCACACGUAGCACAUCCAUCUAUGGAUGAUUUGGUUUCCUCACGUAGUCACCUAUCAUGCUUGCAAAGUAACAAGGAGAACCACAAUGAAGCCAAGAGGAGAAAAACUAAUAUACUCAUAUCUAAAUUUUACUGACAGAGAAUACGUCAUCAUAGUAAAAGAAUUGAGAAUCAUUACGGGGUUGAUGCAUUCAUAUAGAAUGAUCUCUUCUUCCAUACACCAAUACCUAAUCAGGUUAGAUUUCAUAUGUAGUAGUUCGACAUGGAAUUUUUUUCUAAAUGUCAAGCAGCUAUUAUUUUUCUUAGUUGUGCUUCAAAUCAAGAUGAUGCCACUGCAAUUAAUGGAUUUGACCAAGGUUUCUAUUGAUGUCGGUUGCAGUUACCCAACUAUGGAUGUAUAUGUACAAGUUGACAGAGCUCCAAGUGCUGAACAUUUCGUUCCCAUCUGUCAGGGUACUAUCUGUAGACUCUAUGUUGUAUGGUAGUGUAGUGUUUUUGUUCCGUUGGAGACAUAUUGCCUUUCUAUUGACAGUACUGUAAGUUGGUACAUGUGUGUUCACUCACAGUGUACCACUUUUUAGUGCCUCCGAACAAUGUUGUUGUCUGUACUUUUGGGCCCAUCCCGGAGAAACAAUUUCUCUAUCGUUUGCAUUUCACUCUUAUCUAUCUGGCCGUUUCCAGUC